rnacentral:rRNA from 1 species
GUGUCAGCCGCCGCGGUAAAACGUAGGAUCCGAGCGUUAUCCGAAUUCACUGGGCGUAAAGCGCGUGCAGGCGGCUCUGUAAGUUGGAUGUAAAAUCUCCCGGCUCAACUGGGAGGGGACGUUCAAUACUGCGGGGCUUGAGGACGGUAGAGGGAGGUGGAAUUCCCGGUGUAGUGGUGAAAUGCGUAGAUAUCGGGAGGAACACCAGUGGCGAAGGCGGCCUCCUGGACCGUACCUGACGCUCAGACGCGAAAGCUAGGGGAGCGAACGGGAUUAGAAACCCCGGUAGUCC